rnacentral:lncRNA from 1 species
CACCUUCAGUGUUAACUUAUGGUCUGGGAUUCCUGGGGAUGUCAAGGUGUUGAGGAACUCAGUAGGCUGCAUGUUCAUCAUGAUGUUGGUGUUUGUCGUGGCCUUGCACACUGUGUCCAGGCUUAGGUAUGUGACAUCUUCACCUUGUAUUUGGCUCAUUAUGUGGUCGUUUAUCUCCUUGACGGUAUCAUUUCUUGGACAUAAUAUUGCUCUUUCUUCUAGGUAAUCCCGCUCACAGUAUUUUUGCAGUAAGUUUGGGUAUAUGCUUUUGACGAUUUGUUCCUUACGAUUUUCUCCUUUCUCUAGCAGUAGGUCCUUUGGUAUUUUUAUCCAAUCCUCUCCUUCAUCUGAUGUUGUUUUCCCAUCGCCAAUCUGUAGUAUCCACUCUGCAAAUUCAGCUACUUUUUGCUUUUGUAUUGGAUCAUCCGACAAACACUUCAGCCGCAUGUUUUGUGUUAACUCAAAUAUUUCAAAGUGUUUCCACAGAUAUGACCUUUUGAUUGAAGCAUUAACUAUCUGCUCUCUCCUUCCUUUGGUUAUAACUGGCAGGAUUUGUCUGAAGUCGCCUCCUAGUAUAACUGUCAUUCCACCAAAUGGCUUUUCAUUGCUGUUUUCAUUAGUGAACCUGAGAAUAUCUCUAAGGCUUUUGUCUAGUGCCUCAAAGCAGUGUUUGUUUGCCAUAGGAGCUUCGCCCCACAAUAUAAGUGAUGUCUUCUUUAGCAAUUCAGCCAAAUGCGACCCUUGUUUUAUUUCACACGUUGAUUCUUCAGUGAUAUUAAGUGGAAUGCGGAACCUUGAGUGUGCCGUUCUCCCACCUUGGAGAAGCAACGCUGCAAUGCCACAUGAUGCUACUGCAAGCACUAUCUUCCCCUCUGACCUUAGCUUUGUCGUUAUUGCUUUCCAUAGAUAGGUUUUUCCUGUGCCACCGUAGCCUUCGAGAAAUAUCUGCUUUCCUUGUCCUCUGUCAACUGAUUCCAUAAUUGCAUCAUAGGCUUUUUUCUGGUCUUGGUUAAGAUUGUUUAGUAUGAUAUUGUGCUCAUCCUUGAGUUUGUCCAUGUCGUAGUUGAUCUCUUCGUUUAUUAGCCUAUUCCCAAGUUCGUCUAGCUCUGCGGCAUUUGGUAGUUCUAUGUCUGGAUAGUCCUUUAGUGACUUUCCUACUUGCCUCAUCAGUUUUUCUAUCUCAAUCAAACCAUAGGCUUUUUUCUGUGUGUUUGUGAGCCGAAGUGCCGGAAAGUUUAGAAUAGUCCUUCUUUUGUAUUGCAUAUCUUCACACAGCGCCUCCCAUGUUGAAUCCCACAGUACCUUUGGGUUUGUGACUUCGCAAUGGGACAAUAUGGUGGUGAAUUACUGACGCAGUUGUGUUCCGGAUGCCCAACUUGAUGCUUCAUUGAUACAGUCAAUCCACUCAGUGUCAUCAUCAAGAAAUCCGAGGUCUUGGCAUGCUGAUUUGUAUGUUGGGUGAGUGACUCCAUCAACGGUCCUAAUGUCCUCAAAUGAUGUGCAUCCUUUCUUGGUGUUUAGAAGCAUCCUCAUAUGGUAUCGCUCUCCACUUGCGGGAUGUGCAUAAUAGAUUCUUCCAAUUGCGUAGUCCCUUUUUCGCUUUUGCCAAGUUUUUGUUUCGCUUUUCCAUACAAACUUUGUAGGGAAUUCUGCGUAAGUCAAUUCUUUCCCUAGCUCGUAUAUUUUAUUUGCCUCCAUCCACUGAGUGAACUUGGUAAUUUUAGAUCCUUCCCUUGUUACUAUCUUUUCAAGGUCAGUGGAGUCUGGAAAAACGACUUGCUGCUCAUUUUCAAGAUGGAAAGGUAGUCUCUCAACUGCUGGAUCACGAUACUGAAGAUCAAACUGAAAUAUCCUCCAACAUGCUUCUGAUGUUGAUAUGUAUCUCAUCUCUAGGUAUUUCUUGAUCUCGUCAGUUUCAUUUGCCGUGCCCCUUUCCUUGAGCAAGGCUGUAACAUGGUCAUCGUCUUUAUGGAUAUACUUGAAUAGGUACUUGAUUGAUCUGGACCUAUUGCACCACUCGACAUUUAUAUGAGCUUGAAAUUUGACCAGAAGAUUCCGGUUGUAUGGCACGACAAAUCUGUUGUCGAGCAUCACUCCUCCCUUUUUGAUCUGCCUUCCGUCAUCCCUCCUUUUAUAUACUGGAAACCCAUCCUCGUCAAUGGUAGUACUGACAUUGUAUCUUUUUGGGAAAUGCUUGGUGCAUCUAUGGUCCACCAUGCAUGGUGAGUUUUUCUUAGCCUCUCCGCACGGGCCAUGCAUCAUGAAGUUCUCAACAGCUUCAAAUGCCUCCGGAUCCUCAUCCUUGUUUGGGAUCUCAGCGCUUAUUAUUUUGUCGAUUUGCGAUGGUUCUGGGUACUUGUCUUUAUCCUUCAAAAAUAUUAGUAUGUGGGCAUGCGGGAGUCCUCUCUUCUGGAAUUCUAUUGUGUAGAUGACUGCAGUUGAUUAAUAGUUUGUCAGAUUUAGCUAAAACUGGAAUGCAUGUUACUGAAGAGGUAGAGUCUGACGGACUAUAAGAUGAUGCAUGUUACUAAAGAGGAAGAGUCAUGAAAGAGUAAAGAUUGAUAGUCGAUGGACUUACUUGCAACUGUUUCUCCAAAGUACUUUUUUUCUUUUAUGUCUCUCAUUAGCUCCUUUAGUUUGAUCAUAAAUACCCUGUCAACAAUAUCUGGCCGAUCGGCUGGCUUUUGGCCACCUCCCGCUUCAUCUAGCAUGUAUUGGAUCUCAGGCCACUUUGCAUUGCAUGUGAAUGUUAUAAAUAGGUCUGGGUAUCCAGCCCAACGACAUAUUGCAAAGGCAUCUUGCAAGUAUUGUGCCUUAUUUCUUCUACCACCUGUAAAAGAUGAAGGCACAAUUAUCCUCUUUCCAACUUGCUCUGUUCUUGUGUCCCCUCGCUCAAUUGCAUCCUGCAAUCCACUGUAAAGUUCAGUUCGUAGCUUUCCUUGAUUGUGUCGGAUCCAGUUUAGUCUAUUUUGCUCGAUACAUGUGUAUACAUCCACCCAAAAUUGCAGUGACAGAUGCCCAGAUUUGAGUAGUAACAUUCCUUGAUCGGGAUGUUGUUGUAGGUAGAAUGCAUAGUAGUCCAAUAACGUUACGUAUUUCCUGCUAUUUGCACCUCCUUUUGUUUUCUUGUACGGUAUCUCAAGUUUAAAACCAUCUUCUCCAUAUGGGAACAACAACGGAUAUUGCAUGGACAUGAAUUUCGGGUGGAUCUCUGAUAUCCUUUGCGGCUCCAUAUUUUUGUACUCAACAACAAUGUCACGUCCUUCACUCUCUCCGGUUGGAUCUCUUACUACCAAUGCUGCAACUUCAGAUGCAGAUGGAAGGUUGUGUGUUCCGUUCCUUUUGCCUAGUAUCCGAAGUGUGUAAUCAUGGUAGUCUCCUUCCUGGAAUCUAUCUCUUGCCAUUCUGAAUGUUUUUGCGAGGAUGUUAUUGUCGUCGAGCAUUACUUUCAGUUCUUUGACGAUGUUGGGGUCCACUGUUGAUUUACUAUCAUUGCAUCUUGACGCACUUAUCCUAUUAUCCACCUCAUUUUCUGUAUUAUAGAUGUACAGCUGUGCGAACCGAGGUUUGUCUGUACCUUCAGGUAAAAGAGUUCCUAUAUGGUGGUAGUUCUGUCCAUGCAAACGAAAAACAUAAGGUCCUUUGCUAGUGUUUAUUUCCUUGUCCACAACUCCUCCCAUCGAUGUGAAUGAGAACAUUGAGUUGUAUGACCUUAUAUUUUCUUUGAAGUUUACUGAAUCCUGCCCUUCACUUCUUAAGAGGUUUCUGAGGUAUGGUGGAGGUUCUCUUAGUGGCGGCAGAUCGAUUUUCCCCUGUUUGCAGCAUAUUCCAAAAGUGGGUUCGUAGUUCCUUUGUUUGAAUUUAAUCUUUCUUCACACCAUAGCAAUGCUUUGCAAUAUUGGCAUUUGUAUAUCGUCCUUCCGAAGUUCCACGGUUUGCUAUUUGCACUUGUCGAGGUUCUGGUUCUGUUAUUGUCUCCAACAUUUGCUCUAAUGUUGUGUUUGUUGGUAUCUCUUCUUCCCCGCUUCAAUUCCUUAUCUUCUUCAGCAUUAGCCUUUCUCAAUCGUUCAGGAUCCUCUGUGUUUGUAUUUCUUCUUCCCUUUGCAGUCCUUGUCCGCUUUGUACUCCUUGAGUUUAAAGGUUGUUCUUUUUUUCUUUUUGUAUGGUGAGCUGCUGGGGCUGACAUAUGCUGGACUCCCAUCUCUGCAAAUGUGAUUUUGUCAGUGUAUAGAUUUUUCUUAACAUAGUAUCAUGUAAUAUGAUUUAUGUUGUACUUAAUAGUGUUUUGCCGUUGCAGAUAUGCAAGUGCAUUUGUAGAUGUAAGAGACUACUAAUGGAUGUGUCACAUACAGUACAACUGGAGAUCAAUGUUGUUUAUCUGACAGGGCACCAUAAAUCAAUAAUUGUUCAACCGUGUUUCUCUUUUCGUAGAUUUCACCUAACUAUCAUGGUAGUAUCAGGAUGCAUUGAAAAAUGCUUUAUAGUUCAGUAUCAGAAGAGUUUUGAGAUAGAAGAUUAUAAGCAAAGUUUUUAUUUCGAAACGGAGGCAAAAGCUUUGCCUCAUCUCAUUAUAAGCAAAGUUGAGCUGAGAUCAAAAUGCAGGCACACACAUGAAGAAUUGCAUGUGGAUAUUACCCGAGGUUGAUGGUGCUGAUGUCGUGUCUUCAACUUGUUGGACGUUUCUUUGUGCUUUCGAUUGUUUGGGCGUCGCAGGCGUAUAUUGGAUGCAAGUUGCUGGAGCUGUUGCCAUGCCUUCAAUUUGCCGGCCGUCUCUUUGUAUUUUAUCGCCCUGACAUCUUGAAAAAGGAGCUAUUAAGAAGUGCAUCAUGGGUCAAUUAUGAACGUCUGUCUUGUAAAAUUAUGCUUGAAAUUAUGUGAUAUAAGGAGAAAGGAUGAGUGUGUGACCAUACCUCUUGUUUGUUUUCUGAGACUAUGAUCUAGCAAUUUGACUAAUGUGUCUUCAUGUAGGGAUUUGUAU